rnacentral:rRNA from 1 species
ACGAGCGGCGGACGGGUUAGUAACGCGUGGGAACAUACCCUUUUCUACGGAAUAGCCUCGGGAAACUGAGAGUAAUACCGUAUACGCCCUUCGGGGGAAAGAUUUAUCGGAGAAGGAUUGGCCCGCGUUAGAUUAGAUAGUUGGUGGGGUAACGGCCUACCAAGUCUACGAUCUAUAGCUGGUUUUAGAGGAUGAUCAGCAACACUGGGACUGAGACACGGCCCAGACUCCUACGGGAGGCAGCAGUGGGGAAUCUUAGACAAUGGGCGCAAGCCUGAUCUAGCCAUGCCGCGUGUGUGAUGAAGGCCUUAGGGUCGUAAAGCACUUUCGCCAGGGAUGAUAAUGACAGUACCUGGUAAAGAAACCCCGGCUAACUCCGUGCCAGCAGCCGCGGUAAUACGGAGGGGGUUAGCGUUGUUCGGAAUUACUGGGCGUAAAGCGUACGUAGGCGGAUCAGAAAGUAGGGGGUGAAAUCCCAGGGCUCAACCCUGGAACUGCCUCCUAAACUCCUGGUCUUGAGUUCGAGAGAGGUGAGUGGAAUUCCAAGUGUAGAGGUGAAAUUCGUAGAUAUUUGGAGGAACACCAGUGGCGAAGGCGGCUCACUGGCUCGAUACUGACGCUGAGGUACGAAAGUGUGGGGAGCAAACAGGAUUAGAUACCCUGGUAGUCCACACCGUAAACGAUGAAUGCCAGUCGUCGGGCAGUAUACUGUUCGGUGACAC